GGGGAUGAUCCGGUUUCGACGGGGGUUGUCGAGGACGGGAUAAGCGAGCCGUGGCCCUGCACCACGAUAAAACGGGAACUAAAUGUAACUGACAAUAGCGAUUUCGCUUUCGCGGCUUAAUGCCGUGACGUUGGCCCGGCUUGCCUGCGUGGCCGGAUCCCAGCGUCAUGAACGCAGGGAACGAAUGUAUGUAAGCUUUGCCAUGCAUCCGUAACAUGAAGCUACCAAGCCAUCAAGCCUGUCUGCGGGCGUGAUGGCAAGGGAAUGUCAGAACACAGACUACGCUCGUAGAAAGUUCCGUAAGCGAGCCUUCGGACAGGGGUUCAACUCCCCUCAUCUCCACCA
rnacentral:tmRNA from 1 species